rnacentral:rRNA from 1 species
AAAUUGAAGAGUUUGAUCAUGGCUCAGAUUGAACGCUGGCGGCAGGCCUAACACAUGCAAGUCGAACGGUAGCACAGAGAGCUUGCUCUUGGGUGACGAGUGGCGGACGGGUGAGUAAUGUCUGGGAAACUGCCCGAUGGAGGGGGAUAACUACUGGAAACGGUAGCUAAUACCGCAUAAUGUCGCAAGACCAAAGUGGGGGACCUUCGGGCCUCACACCAUCGGAUGUGCCCAGAUGGGAUUAGCUAGUAGGUGGGGUAACGGCUCACCUAGGCGACGAUCCCUAGCUGGUCUGAGAGGAUGACCAGCCACACUGGAACUGAGACACGGUCCAGACUCCUACGGGAGGCAGCAGUGGGGAAUAUUGCACAAUGGGCGCAAGCCUGAUGCAGCCAUGCCGCGUGUAUGAAGAAGGCCUUCGGGUUGUAAAGUACUUUCAGCGGGGAGGAAGGUGUUGUGGUUAAUAACC